UUCUAAACAUUUUUGGAACUUCAUCUUUAGAAUGAUUAUCCUAACUUUCUAUUUUUAAAAGAAGACUACACAUUACACUAUUUUUAGUAUCACUAGAAGCUUUCGCUUCAAACUCCUCCAGAGAAACGCUAUAAAUAGAUGGCUCAUUAUCGCUUUUUCCAAGUAAUACGCCAAUACCAUUUGCAUAACACUUACAUACCAGACGGUGUCAUAACAAUUUUCUCCAGACAUACCGCAUGCUUUCUUCUCAGCGAUUCAAGCCUAAAUAUACAAUUUCCGAUCCUUUAACUUACCUAAAACGGUUGUGUUGACUCUUGAAGCACAAAGUCAGAAACGAAAUUUUAUUCGGAGUUUUAAAAGCGCAUUAGUGGCUUUUGUGCAAUAUCUUCUAUUAUUACUCUUUUCUUAAUUUUUUUUUUUUUAAGUUUAGAUUCUAAGUUA